rnacentral:rRNA from 1 species
GUGUGUGGCCAUGCCACCCUGAACAAGCCCGAUCCCGUCUGAUUUCGGAAGCUAGGCAGAGUCGGGCCUGGUUAGUACUUGGAUGGGAGACCACCUAGGAAGAACAGGUGCUGUAGGCG